UGAGACGACUUUGCCGUCGGCCAGAGCGGGAGGCAGCCCGGUUCCAAACCGAAUGCAAUCACUUUUUUACCCGGAUCAAACUCCUCCCACCGGGGGAACCCGGGACAGAAAAAUAAACCCAUAGAAUGGGGCUCCGUCUCCCCCAAAACGUUGAAAUCAAAAGGAUCACGGCCGUUUGAGACUGAACAUCCCUAUACGGAUUGACCAACCUGUGGUGACCAAGUGUAAGACUGAUCCCCGGGUCAUGAACGGAUGCCGGCAUACCAGAGAAGCAAAGUUGGUCAGGCAAGACCUCAGAAUAAAAGUGUCAUGCAACACAAGUACCCUUGUGACACCUCCUCUGCUGUUGCCAGUCUCCCUCAACUCCUAUGAAAAGGACACGCUAUCAUGAGGCCUCUGAUAGUGACCCGAGUUACUGCCCUGAUCAACAACGACAGCUGGACUGGAGAUGCUUUUUUGUCCGACGGCAGCCUGAGUCGUUUGAUGGGGAGACCCAUAGUAGGAAACAUGUAUGGAGCUAGGACAUGGAUACUUGCAAGAUGAUGUGAUGAAGUCCAGACAGACAUGCUUGAUACUGAUGUCUCUGAAUGGAGAGAGACCUGGCACUCUGACAGAUAGGCUAGAUACUGAUGUCUCUGAUACUGAUGUCUCUGAAUAGACAGAGACCUGGCACACUGACAGACAGGCUAGAUACUGAUGUCUCUGAAUGGAGAGAGAGACCUGGCACUGCAAUAAAAAUGUUUGUAGACACUUA